rnacentral:rRNA from 1 species
GGUGUGCUAACACCGAAUACGAUACCAUGGCACAUGCUGUGGCAUGAAAGGCGGGGAUCUCUUCGGAGACCUGUCACCGGUGGAGGGGUCUAUGGCCUAUCAGCUUGUUGGUGAGGUAACGGCUCACCAAGGCUUACGGGUACGGGGCCUGAGAGGGUGUUCCCGAACACUGGGACUGAGACACUGCCCAGACUCCUACGGGAGGCUGCAGUCGAGAAUCAUUCGCAAUGGGCGAAAGCCUGACGAUGCGACGCCGCGUGUGGGAUGGAGGCCUUCGGGUUGUAAACCACUGUCACAGAGGAAGAAACACAUAGAUGUUAAUACCAUCUAUGUUUGACGUUACUCUGAGAGGAAGCCACGGCUAACUCCGUGCCAGCAGCCGCGGUAAUACGGAGGUGGCAAGCGUUGUUCGGAAUUACUGGGCGUAAAGGGUGCGUAGGCGGUUGGUCAUGUCCGAUGUGAAAUCCCCCGGCUCACCCGGGGAACUGCAUUGGAAACUGGCUGGCUGGAGUGCAGAAGAGGAGAGCGGAAUUUCCGGUGUAGCGGUGAAAUGCGUAGAUAUCGGAAGGAACGCCAAUGGCGAAAGCAGCUCUCUGGUCUGUUACUGACGCUGAGGCACGAAAGCUAGGGUAGCAAACGGGCUUAGAUACCCCGGUAGUCCUAGCCAUAAACGAUGGGUACUACGUAGUGGGGCCUCUGACGGUCUCACUGCCGGAGCUAACGUAUUAAGUACCCCGCCUGGGGACUACGGCCGCAAGGCUAAAACUCAAGGUAAUUGACGGGGGCUCACACAAGCGGUGGAGCAUGUUGCGUAAUCGUCAACGCGAAGAACCUUACCUGGGCUUGACAUGUACGGAUUAGGUCGGUGAAAGUCGACUGACACCCUUGCGGUGGAACGUACACAGGUGUUGCAUGGCUGUCGUCAGCUCGUGCCGUGAGGUGUCGGGUUAAGUCCCUCAACGAGCGAAACCCCUGUCCUUAGUUGCCAGCGAGUAAUGUUGGGGACUCUAGGGAGACUGCCAGUGUUAAACUGGAGGAAGGUGGGGAUGACGUCAAGUCAUCAUGGCCCUUACGCCCAGGGCUGCAAACGUGCUACAAUGGUCGGCACAGAGGGAUGCGAUACUGUGAAGUGGAGCAAAUCUCACAAAGCCGGCCUCAGUUCGGAUUGAAGUCUGCAACUUGACUUCAUGAAGUUGGAAUCGCUAGUAAUCGCGGAUCAGCAACGCCGCGGUGAAUAUGUUCCUGAGCCUUGUACACACCGCCCGUCAAGUCAUC